GGAUUCCCUUAGUAACUGCGAGUGAAGUGGGAAAAGCUCAAAUUUGGAAUCUGGCAGUCUCUGGCUGUCCGAGUUGUAAUCUAGAGAAGUGUUACCUGCGCCGGACCGUGUACAAGUCUCCUGGAAUGGGGCGUCAUAGAGGGUGAGAAUCCCGUCUCUGACACGGACUGCUGGGGCUUUGUGGUAUGCUCUCAAAGAGUCGAGUUGUUUGGGAAUGCAGCUCUAAAUGGGUGGUAAAUUCCAUCUAAAGCUAAAUAUUGGCGAGAGACCGAUAGUGAACAAGUACCGUGAGGGAAAGAUGAAAAGAACUUUGGAAAGAGAGUUAAACAGUACGUGAAAUUGCUGAAAGGGAAACGCUUGAAGUCAGUCGCAUUGGCCUGGGGAUCAGCCUCACUUCUCGUGUGGUGCACUUCCUGGUUGAUGGGUCAACAUCAAUUUUGACUGCUGGAGAAAGGCUUGAGGAAUGUAGCAGCUCUGGCUGUGUUUAUAGCUUCUUGUCAGAUGCAGUGGUUGGGAUUGAGGGAUGCAGCGCGCCGCAAGGCCGGAGCAGAUUUGCUCACGUCCGCGCUUUGGAUGUUGACAUAAUGGCUUUAAGCGACCCGUCUUGAAACACGGACCAAGGAGUCUAACAUGCCUGCGAGUGUUUGGGUGGAAAACCCAUGCGCGCAAUGAAAGUGAAAGUUGAGAUCCCUGUCGCGGGGAGCAUCGACGCCCAGACCAGAACUCUUGGGAUGGAUCUGCGGUAGAGCAUGUAUGUUGGGACCCGAAAGAUGGUGAACUAUGCCUGAAUAGGGCGAAGCCAGAGGAAACUCUGGUGGAGGCUU
rnacentral:rRNA from 1 species